GACGAACGCUGGCGGCGUGCUUAACACAUGCAAGUCGAACGAUGAAGCUGGAGCUUGCUCUAGCGGAUUAGUGGCGAACGGGUAAGUAACACGUGAGCAAUCUGCCCUUGACUCUGGGAUAACUGCGGGAAACUGUAGCUAAUACCGGAUACUUUCACCGGGGGCAUCCUCUGGUGAUGAAAGAAUUUCGGUCAAGGAUGAGCUCGCGGCCUAUCAGCUUGUUGGUGAGGUAACGGCUCACCAAGGCGACGACGGGUAACCGGCCUGGGAGGGUACCCGGUCACACUGGGACUGAGACACGGCCCAGACUCCGACGGGAGGCAGCAGUGGGGAAUAUUGCACAAUGGGCGCAAGCCUGAUGCAGCAACGCCGCGUGAGGGAUGAAGGCCUUCGGGUUGUAAACCUCUUUUAGCAGGGAAGAAGCGAAAGUGACGGUACCUGCAGAAAAAGCACCGGCUAACUACGUGCCAGCCGCCGCCGUAA
rnacentral:rRNA from 1 species